CUGACACAGUUUUCAUCUGUGCUGAUGAGUGUUAAGCGGCUCAUACAAAAAAUCUGACAAAUCUGAACUGCAGGACUACAAGAAAACUUUAAUGCUGCCUACAGAAUAACAGAGCCAGAGAUCUCUACAUCUGGAAGAGUCACAAUAGAGCAUCAUAUUUGCCCUUCAUUAUAUGAAGAAUUUCAACCAUGUGAAUCAGAGGAGAGCGACGAGAAAAUCAACUUCUGACUCCUUGCCAUUGAGAAAUGCCAGAACAGUGAUUUGUGGCUGUGUGCUGUAGAAGUCAGCUUAGGAUACUCGGUUGAACAUGCCUUUGCUGCUCUUUUGUGACUAUUCUGCAAACAUGGUCACUCUUCUGUAUAAAGAG